AUUGAACGCUGGCGGCAGGCCUAACACAUGCAAGUCGAGCGGAUGAAGGGAGCUUGCUCCUGGAUUCAGCGGCGGACGGGUGAGUAAUGCCUAGGAAUCUGCCUGGUAGUGGGGGAUAACGUCCGGAAACGGGCGCUAAUACCGCAUACGUCCUGAGGGAGAAAGUGGGGGAUCUUCGGACCUCAUGCUAUCAGAUUAGCCUAGGUCGGAUUAGCUAGUUGGUGGGGUAAAGGCCUACCAAGGCGACGAUCCGUAACUGGUCUGAGAGGAUGAUCAGUCACACUGGAACUGAGACACGGUCCAGACUCCUACGGGAGGCAGCAGUGGGGAAUAUUGGACAAUGGGCGAAAGCCUGAUCCAGCCAUGCCGCGUGUGUGAAGAAGGUCUUCGGAUUGUAAAGCACUUUAAGUUGGGAGGAAGGGCAGUAAGUUAAUACCUUGCUGUUUUGACGUUACCAACAGAAUAAGCACCGGCUAACUUCGUG
rnacentral:rRNA from 1 species